GCUUACGGCCACACCACCCUGAGAACGCAACGAUCUCGUCCGAUCUCGGAAGCUAAGCAGGGUCGGGCCUGGUUAGUACUUGGAUGGGAGACCGCCUGGGAAUACCAGGUGCUGUAAGCU
rnacentral:rRNA from 1 species